rnacentral:rRNA from 1 species
GACGAACGCUGGCGGCGUGCCUAAUACAUGCAAGUCGAGCGGACUUAAAAAGCUUGCUUUUUAAGUUAGCGGCGGACGGGUGAGUAACACGUGGGCAACCUGCCUGUAAGACUGGGAUAACUUCGGGAAACCGGAGCUAAUACCGGAUAAUCCUUUCCUACUCAUGUAGGAAAGCUGAAAGACGGUUUACGCUGUCACUUACAGAUGGGCCGGCGGCGCAUUAGCUAGUUGGGGAGGUAACGGCUCACCAAGGCGACGAUGCGUAGCCGACCUGAGAGGGUGAUCGGCCACACUGGGACUGAGACACGGCCCAGACUCCUACGGGAGGCAGCAGUAGGGAAUCUUCCGCAAUGGACGAAAGUCUGACGGAGCAACGCCGCGUGAGUGAUGAAGGUUUUCGGAUCGUAAAACUCUGUUGUUAGGGAAGAACAAGUACGAGAGUAACUGCUCGUACCUUGACGGUACCUAACCAGAAAGCCACGGCUAACUACGUGCCAGCCGCCGCCGUAA